GACGUUGGCGUAGAAGGAAAUACGUUUCGGACGUCACCUUCACGGAUUACGGGGGGGAAUGUAAGUUGCGCCACGUCGACCAGCGAACCCCACGCUUCCCCAUCAACCAUCACUGAUGACAAGUCGAUCGAUGAUUGCCGCUCCCACAGCACACGCGGAGGAUCGGCUUGCAACGAAACAUCAAAAAAGGGCAGUCAUAAGUCACCUAAGUCACCUCAAAAACGAUUUUGAGAGAAAUUGUUUAGACGUAUCACCAGAAUUAGAGUUUAUGCCACGACAUUUAUUCAAUUAGAAUUAGUUAAAAAUUGAACCUUCAUUUAAUACGGCUACUUGUCUUGCUUUACAGAUUUCUAAGAAGAGCGUAAAAAUCAUUGCACUAUAAAUUUGGGAAACUAUGUGGUUAGGUUCUUUAACUGAAUAGCCCAUCCCUACCCAUUAUAAGUUGUGAUCGACUUGAGUUUGCUCGUGAUUACUAAAGUAUUUUAUAAUUUACAUCAAUACGAACCGAAUAAAUUCAUGAAAUCAUCAAUUACGAGCAUUGUCGGCCAACAGGGA
rnacentral:lncRNA from 1 species